rnacentral:lncRNA from 1 species
GUACGAUGCUGGCUAAGAAAUCUCAUCUCAAGAACACCAUUCUACCUUGCCAAGACCAGUAUUUUUCAGGAGGCCAAAAUUAUAAUUGCCCGUUAUCCACCGCGACGUCAGAACCUAGUGUUGACGUUUCCACGGAGACUUGGGUCUCUUUCUGGGCUGCUGGUCUCCUGGACAACAGUGAGCCCCAACAAGCACCACAGGCACAGGGUAAGUUCUGCUUCUCUGCUUUCCUGAUAGACCUAGAGCCCUUUUCUAGAGCCAUGGCUGCAAAGCAUCAUGGGCUGGGACUCUGUAGAAGAGGGAUGUUAGAGCAAAUUUAAGACCUCAUAUCCUUUCUGUUUCAAUCAUAAAACUUAGUAAUUUUUAGGUGCCAAGGAGUGAAAAUAGGAUUAUUGCUUUUACUUGCUGCACAAUAUGUAUUUCUCCCUACACUUUAUAGUUUUUAAAGAUUCUCAACUUAUUGAGAGAGUUUGAUCUGGUUUAAAGUUUUAUGAAGAACAUUCUAGUAAGAUGUAUUUGGAGUCCAGAUGUCAGUUGGAAAAUUGCUUUUGGAAUUCAGCAAAGCUUCCUUGAGUGUAGAAGAAGAGCAAGAGUGAAUAAUUUGAUUUUAUGGAAGUAAUUAUUCCCUUUUAUACACAAAAUGGACUUUAGCUGAAGAAAAGUAUAAAGAAAAUUACAUGCAUUAAUUUUGAACCUGGAGCUUGGUGGGUGAUCCUUAUAAAUAUUAAGGGAAUUACUGUACUGCAUUUAAUUUUCUGUAAAAUAAAACUCACAAAUACCUCAGAAUUAAAUAUCUGCACUAUUACCCAGUAUGCCACAUGAUUUGGGGAAAAAGAUUAAGAAAAACACAAACAAAAACUCAAAAAUUUUGAAAUACCUUUAUAUGUCAGGGAGAACAUAUGUUGAGUCUUAUAUGUUUAUAUGUUCACUUUAAUGCUAUACUAUGAACAACAAUGAAAACAGGAUGUUCAGUGAAAUGAAAUCAACUCUUUAUACAACUUUGUUCCUGUUUCUCAUCAUUUCACUUACGAAAAAAAAUACUUCAGUGAUAGUGAUUUCAGUAGAGCAGGACAAAAGUUAGAAUGAUAGUAAAUGAAUAGAAAAUGUAAUUAUGUUAGCACGCCCCCCCCAAUUUUUUAUUGAUAAGUAUACUUGGCUGUCACAUAUAGGGAAAAAACACUCUGAAACCUUAUAAAAAUGUGCAGACAAAAACAGUUGCAACAUAAAAGGUGUAGAUGCAGUCUUGCAAUGUUCAUCAAGGUCCUCAGAGACACAAGGUGCACACUAUUUUAAAGUAGAAAGUGCUACCACAUAGAAUUCUGAAUAAAUAAGGUCCACUCAAUUUAACAGGCCUGUAGGCAGAAAGAAAAACAGUAGCAUCCCACGACAGGAUUAAUUAUGAAGCCAAACCCUCUUUUAUGAAGCAUUACAUCUUUAGAAAAAUAGAGUAGAAAUUAGAAAAAAAUAUGUUGGAAUCAAAAUAUUUUACUUCGCAGAAUGGUAGAGACAAAAAAUAUUUGAAUGGGUUAGUGAUACCGAUGCAACAAUUUUAUUAAUUAAGCCAGCAGGACCAUGAGUAGCAACGAAGAAUGUGCCAAGUUACCUCCUAAAAAAUUCACCUCUUGGCCAGGGAUUUAGCUCAGUGGUUCCACUGCUUGCCUUGCAAAUGCAAGGACCCGAGUUAGAUCCCUGGUACAAACAAAGAAACAAACAAAUAAAUAAAUAAUUCGCCUCUUUAACCAGGCUGACGACAGUGCGUACAUAUCUUCCUGUCAGCCCUUGCUUGCUCCUCUCUUCUGAAAGCUUUAAAUGUUUUAUUUUCCUAUGUGGAAAAAAUAGCUAUUUCAAGAAAGAUAAUUGCACCUAUUAGACUUUGGAAAUUGUCUGAUGAAUUUGUUGUACACAGACAGAGAGUGUGUUUCCUCUGCUGCUCAACUUUUGUUUCCACAUAGAACCAGCCUGUGACUUGAAUUUUCCUGUUCCGGAUUCCUGUUCGUGGGAAGAAGCACAGCUCUCCUCGCAGCUCUACCGAAACAAGCAGGUAUGUACUCAAGAGAGACUGUUCUCUGCUGUGUCUUCUUUUCACUUCAUGUUGG